rnacentral:tRNA from 1 species
CGCGGGGUAGAGCAGCCUGGUAGCUCGCAAGGCUCAUAACCUUGCGGUCGUUGGUUCAAAUCCAACCCCCGCAACCA